rnacentral:rRNA from 1 species
GACGUAGGAGGCGAGCGUUGUCCGGAAUUAUUGGGCGUAAAGAGCUCGUAGGCGGUCUGUCGCGUCGGUCGUGAAAACUUGGGGCUUAACCCUGAGCUUGCGGUCGAUACGGGCAUGACUGGAGUUCGGCAGGGGAGACUGGAAUUCCUGGUGUAGCGGUGAAAUGCGCAGAUAUCAGGAGGAACACCGGUGGCGAAGGCGGGUCUCUGGGCCGAUACUGACGCUGAGGAGCGAAAGCGUGGGGAGCGAACAGG